CAGACAUUCUAUCUGGAUUUGAAAAUGGAGAAACAAAGCACGUUUGAAUGGCAAAGCCUAAGGAGAUGUCAGCUUUAGUCACAGACACCUCUACGUAUAUUGGCCCAUUUUCAGCAACCGAGAAGAGUCCUUGGGAGGGAGCAAGGAAUAGAUCUGUUUUGUAGAGCUCCAUGUUGAAGGUCACAUUGGUGAUGUGAGGCUCAGGAGGCCAGAACAUGGCAGGAUUAAAAAAGUCCUUCUCUGGCUGGUGCAGUGUGCAAUUAAACGCUAUUUCAGGCCAGUUUGAGAAAGUAACAUCUCCCUCGUCAGCAUCCCCUGGAAAUCCAUUAUCACCUGAUUCCAUGUCAUCAUCAUCAAAGCUGCUGCCUUCAGCUGGUGAUGACAGCUGUAUGACAAUAGAGUUAAAAUAAACAAUCUUGUCCAAGAUAUAUGAUGUCCGAGUCCCACAUUUGUUCGGCAAAGACUCCAGAAUGAAAUGGGUACCAUUCAUCCUGGCUUUGCAAGAGUGAUCCAGCAAUGAGAGUUCAGUUCUUGUAUAGCCGCUUGCCUGCAGAGAGUCUUUUUCUACAGCCACUGUCAUGACUUUGUCAUCACACUUUAUUGACAGGGCUACAUCAGCACUGCCUUGAACUUCUUCAGGUUCUUUGUGUUUUGAGAGGGAAUGCUCAAAGUCAUGAUUAAUUAAUGUGUCCACUGAAUCCCUGGAUGGGAAAAUUCCUUCUCCCCCUGUUUCAUGUCCUCCUCUAUUAAUGUGAAAAGGAAAAGUCAGGCCAUCACUUAAUGCAGGAUUCUUUGCACCAUGCAGCAAUUCUGUAAGCUCUGGAGGAAGAGAAUGGUCUUCUUCAUCAUUCAUCUCUUCUGUAUGUUCAAGUUGCAGAUGAAAUCUGUUAGCUACGGGGGCUUUUGUAUAGGAAGUAACUGGACUAUAUUUAUGCUCAUAUGCCCACUUGAUCAAACUCUCAUGUGAUGAAGGAAUAUCAGGUAUUACUGAUUUACUCAUAGUCAUGGAUCGUUCUGUUUCCUUUCCAAAACCAAUACUAUUUGAUGUAAUCACUUCCAGCUUUCCUUGGACAUCAUGCGACUUGAUAACCCAGUUGACCGAUUUUUUACACUUGAGGAUAAGUACGACAUUUCGUUCAAGCUUGGCGCCAGGUUGAGAUGGUUUAAUGUCAACGAUUAUAUCCACCUGGAAAGCACUGUACGGAUUGGAAUUUGGAGUGAUUAGCUCAAUUAUGUGAACUUCCCUUUCUUGGACCAAGUUAGACAUUAGGCACCCCUCCGCUCUUUUUGGUUGUAGGUAUCCCGCAAGGUAAUUUAAAGAGAGAAAAUUCUUUUCUAUGUUGCACGUGGGAGGAAAAACUUGAUCUUCUCCUACUUUAAUAUAGAUGUUUCUUGAUAUUUUGAGUUCGGUGAAAGACGUUACUGCUCCAUAUUCCU
rnacentral:lncRNA from 1 species